GGCCGGCAAAGAAUUAGGAUAGAAUCCCAUCCCAACCACUGCCAACAUUUUAACCUGCAUGGUACCAAGAGCUUCCAAAUCCGGUUGCCUGGCUGAGCAUCGGAAGUGAGUGAUCUAGAGAGCUCUCUUGUAGGAAGGAACAUAAUUGAGCCAGUUUGAUCCUCAACAUAGCUGAUCAGCUCACCUUCCUUUGGUUGAAGGAAUACAGUUUAUGUGGG
rnacentral:lncRNA from 1 species